rnacentral:tRNA from 1 species
CGACGGGUAGCUCAAUGGAUAGAGCAGGCGCCCGCUAAGCUCCUGGUUGUGGGUUCGAGUCCGACCCCGUCGA